UAAUGUGUUGCAAACACGCCUCACCAAGACUAAACAGCGUGUCUAAACAACAGUCUUUCAUACCUCAGAUGGAGGGUGUCUGAGGAAUAUUAAUACCG
rnacentral:ncRNA from 1 species